GACGAACGCUGGCGGCGUGCUUAACACAUGCAAGUCGAACGGAAAGGCCUCUUUCGGGGGGUACUCGAGUGGCGAACGGGUGAGUAACACGUGAGUAACCUGCCCUUGACUUUGGGAUAACUUCAGGAAACUGGGGCUAAUACCGGAUAGGAGCUCCUGCUGCAUGGUGGGGGUUGGAAAGUUUCGGCGGUUGGGGAUGGACUCGCGGCUUAUCAGCUUGUUGGUGGGGUAGUGGCUUACCAAGGCUUUGACGGGUAGCCGGCCUGAGAGGGUGACCGGCCACAUUGGGACUGAGAUACGGCCCAGACUCCUACGGGAGGAAGCAGUGGGGAAGACUGCACAAUGGGUGGAAGCCUGAUGCAGCAACGCCGGGUGCGGGAUGACGGCCUUCGGGUUGUAAACCGCUUUCGCUCAUGACGAAGCUUUGUGUGACGGUAGUGGGUAAAGAAGCACCGGCUAACUACGUG
rnacentral:rRNA from 1 species